UACGUAGGAGCGAGCGUUUGCCCGGAUUUAUUGGGGCGUAAAGGGCGCGUAGGCGGCUCUGCACGUCCGUUGUGAAAUCGCCCGGCUCAACUGGGCGGGGUCAGCGGAUACGGCGGAGCUUGAGCAAGCUAGGGGGCAAUGGAAUUCCCGGUGUAGUGGUGGAAUGCGUAGAUAUCGGGAGGAACACCAGUGGCGAAGGCGGUUGCUGGGGCUUUGCUGACGCUGAUGCGCGGAAAGCGUGGGGAGCGAUCCGG
rnacentral:rRNA from 1 species